rnacentral:rRNA from 1 species
GACGAACGCUGGCGGCGUGCUUAACACAUGCAAGUCGAACGGUGAAGCUCCAGCUUGCUGGAGUGGAUCAGUGGCGAACGGGUGAGUAACACGUGAGCAACCUGCCCCUGACUCUGGAAUAAGCGCUGGAAACGGCGUCUAAUACUGGAUACGAGAAGGGUCCUCAUGGGCACUUUCUGGAAAGUUUUUCGGUUGGGGAUGGGCUCGCGGCCUAUCAGCUUGUUGGUGAGGUAAUGGCUCACCAAGGCGACGACGGGUAGCCGGCCUGAGAGGGCGACCGGCCACACUGGGACUGAGACACGGCCCAGACUCCUACGGGAGGCAGCAGUGGGGAAUAUUGCACAAUGGGCGAAAGCCUGAUGCAGCGACGCCGCGUGAGGGAUGACGGCCUUCGGGUUGUAAACCUCUUUCAGCAGGGAAGAAGCGAAAGUGACGGUACCUGCAGAAGAAGCACCGGCUAACUACGUG